UACGUAGGGUGCAAGCGUUAAUCGGAAUUACUGGGCGCAAAGCGUGCGCAGGCGGCUUUGCAAGACAGAUGUGAAAUCCCCGGGCUUAACCUGGGAACUGCAUUUGUGACUGCAUGGCUGGAGUGCGGCAGAGGGGGAUGGAAUUCCGCGUGUAGCAGUGAAAUGCGUAGAUAUACGGAGGAACACCGAUGGCGAAGGCAAUCCCCUGGGCCUGCACUGACGCUCAUGCACGAAAGCGUGGGGAGCAAACAGG
rnacentral:rRNA from 1 species